GACUGGACCGGACCAGGGCUCGGGCUCUUCUUCAGGACUCAUAAGGCUCGGGUCAGCGGAGGAGACGAGUCGGCCUGGACUACGAGGGGUUAAAGAGUGGGCGGGGACGGGGGCGGGGUUUCUCAGACUGGGAUUG